AGAGUUUGAUUAUGGCUCAGGAUGAACGCUAGCUACAGGCUUAACACAUGCAAGUCGAGGGGUAGCAGGGUAGCAAUACCGCUGACGACCGGCGCACGGGUGAGUAACACGUAUCCAACCUUCCCAUAACUCAGGGAUAGCCUUUCGAAAGAAAGAUUAAUACCUGAUAGUACUUUUUCAAGGCAUCUUGAAAAAGUUAAAGAUUUAUUGGUUAUGGAUGGGGAUGCGUUCCAUUAGAUAGUGGUGAGGUAACGGCUCACCAAGUCUUCGAUGGAUAGGGGUUCUGAGAGGAAGGUCCCCCACAUUGGUACUGAGACACGGACCAAACUCCUACGGGAGGCAGCAGUGAGGAAUAUUGGUCAAUGGGCGAGAGCCUGAACCAGCCAAGUAGCGUGAAAAGGAUGAAGGUCCUAUGGAUUGUAAACUUCUUUUAUAGUAGAAUAAAGUGAGCCACGUGUGGUUUUUUGUAUGUAUACUAUGAAUAAGGAUCGGCUAACUCCGUGCCAGCCGCGGC
rnacentral:rRNA from 1 species